UAAUGAAAGUAAUUCAGAAAGUAAAAAUUACCUUCCCAAUCCUUUUUUCCUGCAGUGCCUUGGAUCACAUUCAUUUCAGCAGACAAAUGAGGAAUGAUUCUUGUCCUACUUAAUCUUUGGGCUGAAGAGGAGACUCUUAUCAUGUGAAAUUCCCCCAUGUUAGGGGCGAGAGGACGCUUCCCUGUCUCACAGACAAGAAGAUGGAGCCUCACUUUGCCACAGUUCUAUCUUCCUAAUGUCAUUUUGAGGAUACCAAACAUUAAGACUAGAUAGAAGUUACCAAGGGAAAGAUCAGCACACAGUACUCUUGGACUACAUGCUACGCCUCUUCUUCCUGGGACCUCAUGGAUUUAAAUGGCUUAAGAGAACGGGAUGAGUUGUUGAAAAUUGUCCUUUCAUAAGACCUCACCGAAGGCCGAAGACAAGACCCAUUCAGGCCAAGGCUCCAGAGUCUUCUGUGAAGGGCAGUACGGACCCUUGCUUCUUCAGCACCCGCACAGCACAAAAGUGGCAGCUGCUGGUGUGGCAGGAUUAGUGAAGGGGCAACAACCUGGCUGAAGCCACACAAGCCCACUGCUUUCACUUCACUUCCAUGUUUAUUUAGCACCUUGGAGUGAGGUGGUGGAUUCUGCUACAUGUACUCUUCCCAGGAAUAUAACCCAGGUCAUCACCAUGAAAGCAUGAAACUUUAGCCACCCACCCAAGAGGAUUCAUAGAUACAUUUCAAGAAUUUUCUUGAAUGGACUAUGCUCAUAGACCACCUGCUCAGGAUAGGAAGGAGGCCAGGGCACUGAAGGAAAGCUUCCAGCCAAGGAGAGCAGGCUGGGGGUGAGAGGAAUAAAGGGAAGGAGGGGUUGAAGUAUGAAGUGAGUGAAGUUAGGUCACAGUUUUGCCUGGGAGAGAUGUGCUAGGUCUGAGAUGGCACUGGUUACUCCUUGUGCCCAGCUCUCUUGCCCUGUCUGCACGCUCUUCCUUGUGACCCCUGGGUGUCAAGUAUUCCCCUUCUGCUUUCACUUGCCUUGGCCUUUCAUGGGUAGACUUAGAUAUCCUGCCAGACAAACUCUGCCAAGGGCAGUCUCUGGUAUUUAGAGUUACAGACAUUAUUGUAAUAGGUGCCACUCCAUAGGCCAAAGGUAGAUGGCUUAUCUUUAGGCGACCGUGACACCCAUCAGUGAGGCUACAGAUCACAUGUCCAUCAUUCCAUGACCAUCAGGCACAAAGUAUGGAGAAAAAGAAUCAGAAGAUCCAUACCAUUCAACCAAGUUCCAUCCUGAUGCCACACGAGAUAUGACAAUUCCACCAGCCUCCCUAGUCUCCUGUCCAACAGCUCUGAUCAAAGGAAUGCUACUGUCUUUGGACUCAAGACCUGCACCUGUUUCCUUCCCUAGGGUGAGAAGUGGCUAUAAACAUCUGUCUUGACCCUGCAUCUCCCAACACACAGUCAUGAAAAUAAAGAAAUACAGUAUUGGCCUUUGCUCUCAGUGUGUCCUCAUCCUAAGGUGUCUGCUGAGUUUCUCAUUCACAGGAACCUUCUCCCCACAUCCUCCAAGGGGCAGUGUCGGGAUAUCAGAGAAAGGAGUCUGAAGGCUGAAUAUCUCACUCAUUCUGAACAGCCAUUUCUGUUUCUAGGGCUGAGGAACA